rnacentral:rRNA from 1 species
GUAUUCCUACGGGGGGCAGCAGUGGGGAAUAUUGCACAAUGGGGGAAACCCUGAUGCAGCGACGCCGCGUGAGUGAAGAAGUAUUUCGGUAUGUAAAGCUCUAUCAGCAGGGAAGAAAAUGACGGUACCUGACUAAGAAGCCCCGGCUAACUACGCGCCAGCAGCCGCGGUAAUACGUAGGGGGCAAGCGUUAUCCGGAUUUACUGGGUGUAAAGGGAGCGUAGACGGCAGCGCAAGUCUGAAGUGAAA